CGGGGGGGGAGGCUUCGAUCAUGGCGCCUCAAAGCCCCGUAGGACUCGCUCUCCCGCGUUCUCACGGGCGUCCUCUCUCGCAAACCCUUGCAAGCCCUUCCCUUCUUCCCGCUUCUGCUUCUGCUUCGCUGCCCUUACCUUCCCUGUGCUGGUCGCUAGUCUCGCAGUGCUGCCAAUUGUGCGUGCUCCUUAGCGUUUUCUUUGCUCGCUCGGUUCGACGGGGAUCUUCAAGUUGUGGACGAGUGAGUUUAGGGGAGUCUUGAGUUUAUCCUUCUCUCCCCCCGCCCUCCCUUUUUUUUUUUUUUUUUUUUUUUUUUUUGUGUGUGUGCAGAGUGGCUUGAUUAGAAAGUGGUGGCGAGAUGGAAGGGGCAUCUGUAUCAACAAACCCCCGCUCCGUGGAGGAGGUCUUUAAGGAUUUCAGAGGGCGUCGAGCGGGGAUGCUCAAGGCUCUUACUACUGAAGUAGAAGAAUUUUACCGGCAGUGUGAUCCAGAGAAGGAGAAUUUAUGUUUGUAUGGAUUUCCGGAGGAAACGUGGGAGGUGAACCUCCCUGCCGAAGAAGUACCCCCAGAGCUACCGGAGCCUGCGCUGGGGAUCAACUUCGCACGAGACGGAAUGCAGCGCAAGGACUGGCUUUCAUUGGUUGCUGUACAUAGUGACGCAUGGCUGCUCGCUGUUGCAUUUUAUUACGGUGCCCGAUUUGACAAGAUCGAAAGGAAGCGGCUAUUCAAUUUGAUUAAUGAGCUGCCAACGGUAUUUGAUGUGGUUACCGGAAAGAAGCCUGUGAAGGAAAAGAGCAGCGUCAAUAAUAACGUUAACAGCAAUAGCAACAAUAAUAACAACAGCGGCGGGAACAAGGCAAAGUCUGCGGCGAAGGUGCAACGUGCGGCUGAAACUGCCAAGGCCAAACCAGCACCUCCUCCUCCUAAGGAAGACGACGAUCUUGAAGACGAAGACGAGGAGGAGCACGGAGAUACAUUCUGUGGCACCUGUGGGGGAAGUUAUACGGCUGAGGAAUUCUGGAUAGGUUGUGACAUUUGUGAGAAAUGGUAUCACGGAAAAUGCGUGAAGAUUACACCUGCAAGAGCAGAGCACAUCAAGCAAUACAAGUGCCCGGCGUGUAGCAACAAACGGGCGCCUUCGUUCCCGUGACAGCUGCUAUGGUGCAGAUCUUCAAUGGCUGCGUCCGUACCUAGACUCUGGCUGUAUCGUGGCUUCACUGAGCUCCAGUUGCCUAAGGCUGCUGGUAGGCAAGAGAGCUACAUGCAGGGAUUCCUGCAGCGAGGCACUGGUGCGCGUAGUGCUCAUAAGAUUUGGAACGACUCAAAGAUACUGACUCAUGGUUGGAUAUUUUGGUAUUCGUGUGCAAAAGCAGAAGGCACAGUUACGAGUUUUAAGAAAACACAAUUGAAGGUGCGUAAUAAGGUAAAAUACACCAAAGUAUUAUUCUGAGUUUAAUAAGAACUUUUUCCUUUUGUUUAAAAUUAUACAAUUGGAAUUUGCUAAUUUUAAGCGCAAGGUUUUACUAGUAUUGAUUUAUUUUUAUUAUUAUCGUUACUUUUAACGUGGAAAGUUGCUUAUCGCACUAUACACUAUGUUAGACUAAGAGUAAUUUGGUUUAACUUGUCCAUGUUGAAUUAGAAAAAAAACAUAUUGUCUCCUAUAUAUUGUUCCAAAAAAAAUCAAGUUUCAUAAAAAAGAAACUAUACAUAUGUAUUCUACUUAUAUUUGGUAUAAAAUUUUAAUUAAUUUUUUUUA